rnacentral:rRNA from 1 species
GAGUUUGAUCCUGGCUCAGGACGAACGCUGGCGGCGUGCCUAAUACAUGCAAGUCGAGCGGAUCUUCGUUAGCUUGCUUUUGAAGAUCAGCGGCGGACGGGUGAGUAACACGUGGGCAACCUGCCUGUAAGACUGGGAUAACUUCGGGAAACCGGAGCUAAUACCGGAUGAUCCUUUUCCUCUCAUGAGGAAAAGCUGAAAGACGGUUUCGGCUGUCACUUACAGAUGGGCCCGCGGCGCAUUAGCUAGUUGGUGAGGUAACGGCUCACCAAGGCGACGAUGCGUAGCCGACCUGAGAGGGUGAUCGGCCGACACUGGGACUGAGACACGGCCCAGACUCCUACGGGAGGCAGCAGUAGGGGAGUCUUCCGCAAUGGACGAAAGUCUGACGGAGCAACGCCGCGUGAGCGAUGAAGGCC